CCUACGGGGGGCAGCAGUGAGGAAUAUUGGUCAAUGGACGAGAGUCUGAACCAGCCAAGUAGCGUGAAGGAUGACUGCCCUAUGGGUUGUAAACUUCUUUUAUAUGGGAAUAAAAUGUUCCACGUGUGGGAUUUUGUAUGUACCAUAUGAAUAAGGAUCGGCUAAAUCCGUGCCAGCAGCCGCGGUAAUACGGAGGAUCCGAGUGUUAUCCGGAUUUAUUGGGUUUAAAGGGAGCGUAGGUGGAUUGUUAAGUCAGUUGUGAAAGUUUGCGGCUCAACCGUAAAAUUGCAGUUGAAACUGGCAGUCUUGAGUACAGUAGAGGUGGGCGGAAUUCGUGGUGUAGCGGUGAAAUGCUUAGAUAUCACGAAGAACUCCGAUUGCGAAGGCAGUUCACUGGACUGCAACUGACACUGAGGCUCGAAAGUGUGGGUAUCAAACAGGAUUAGAUACCCGAGUAGUC
rnacentral:rRNA from 1 species